rnacentral:rRNA from 1 species
ACUUACAAUAACGACUCUCGGCAACGGAUAUCUCGGCUCUCGCAUCGAUGAAGAACGUAGCGAAAUGCGAUACUUGGUGUGAAUUGCAGAAUCCCGUGAACCAUCGAGUCUUUGAACGCAAGUUGCGCCCCAAGCCGUCAGGCCGAGGGCACGCCUGCCUGGGCGUCA